UACAGAGGUCUCAAGCGUUGUUCGGAUUCAUUGGGCGUAAAGGGUGCGUAGGCGGCGCGGUAAGUCGGAUGUGAAAUCUCGGAGCUUAACUUCGAAACUGCAUUCGAUACUGCCGUGCUUGAGGACUGGAGAGGAGACUGGAAUUUACGGUGUAGCGGUGAAAUGCGUAGAUAUCGGGAGGAACACCAAUGGCGAAGGCAGCUCGCUGGGACGUUACUGACGCUGAGACGCGAAAGCGUGGGGAGCAAACAGG
rnacentral:rRNA from 1 species